rnacentral:rRNA from 1 species
AACGAACGCUGGCGGCAGGCUUAACACAUGCAAGUCGAACGCCCCGCAAGGGGAGUGGCAGACGGGUGAGUAACACGUGGGAAUGUACCUUUCAGUUCGGAACAACACAGAGAAAUUUGUGCUAAUACCGUAUACGUCCGUAAGGAGAAAGAUUUAUCGCUGAAAGAUCAGCCCGCGUCAGAUUAGGUAGUUGGUGGGGUAAUGGCCUACCAAGCCGACGAUCUGUAGCUGGUCUGAGAGGAUGAUCAGCCACACUGGGACUGAGACACGGCCCAGACUCCUACGGGAGGCAGCAGUGGGGAAUAUUGGACAAUGGGCGCAAGCCUGAUCCAGCCAUGCCGCGUGUGUGAAACGAACGCUGGCGGCAGGCUUAACACAUGCAAGUCGAGCGCCCCGCAAGGGGAGCGGCAGACGGGUGAGUAACGCGUGGGAAUCUACCCAUCUCUACGGAACAACAGUUGGAAACGACUGCUAAUACCGUAUACGCCCUUAGGGGGAAAGAUUUAUCGGAGAUGGAUGAGCCCGCGUUGGAUUAGCUAGUUGGUGGGGUAAAGGCCUACCAAGGCGACGAUCCAUAGCUGGUCUGAGA